GACGAACCGUGCAAACGUUGUUCGGAAUCACUGGGCUUAAAGGGCGCGUAGGCGGGCGAUCAAGUCAGGGGUGAAAUCUUUCGGCUCAACCGGAAAACUGCCCCUGAUACUGAACGUCUUGAGGGAGGUAGGGGCAUGUGGAACUUCCGGUGGAGCGGUGAAAUGCGUUGAUAUCGGAAGGAACGCCGGUGGCGAAAGCGACGUGCUGGAUCUCUUCUGACGCUGAGGCGCGAAAGCUAGGGGAGCAAACGGG
rnacentral:rRNA from 1 species